AUUGAACGCUGGCGGCAUGCUUUACACAUGCAAGUCGGACGAGUGGCGAACGGGUGAGUAACGCAGCGGCACGUACCGAGUAAAGGGGGAUGACUGUCCGAAAGGACAGCUAAUACCGCAAAUGAUUCGAGCGGCCGAUGUCUGAUUAGCUGGUUGGCGGGGAAAAGGCCCACCAAGGCGACGAGGAUUAGCGGGUCUGAGAGGAUGAUCCGCCACACUUGGACUGAGACACGGCCCAGACUCCUACGGGAGGCAGCAGUAGGGAAUUUUGGACAAUGGGCGCAAGCCUGAUCCAGCCAUGCCGCGUGUCUGAAGAAGGCUUUCGGGUUGUAAAGGACUUUUGUUAGGGAAGCGGUACCUAAAGAGUAAGCACCGGCUAACUACGUGCCAGCAGCCGCGGUAAUAC
rnacentral:rRNA from 1 species